rnacentral:lncRNA from 1 species
CCCAACAUCGAGUGAUUUCUCGCACCAACACCAUGAAAAAUAAAAUGGGCUGAUUCACUCUUCCCUUUUCUCAAUUUCUCUUCCUCAGCUGUACAUUUUAAAAUCAAAUCAUUCACAUAUCAAGAUUGGUUGUGAGUAUAAUAGGCUGUCUUGAUUUGGUUAAAGUUAGACGAUAGAGAAUUAAAGGCAUGAUGAACAACAAAAUCAUCAGGA